CUGUUCCACAGGCAAUGUUCAGCCCCACUCAUAUUCCAGAUCCUGCCCAGUUUACAGCUGCAACACAGGACUGUUACAGCGACCUCCACACCACCCUCUUCCAGAGCUCCUUCAGAAGACUAACGAUAUGGCACAAGAUGAUUGGCAACAAGAGACACCCAGUGAUGAGCUCUCCUGAAUGUAAGUUAAUUAACACGCAGACACAGAACAGAGUCUGUAAAGCAACUUUGUAAGCAAUUAAAGCUGUGUCACUCACAGACACUCAUUU